UACAGAGGGUGCAAGCGUUAAUCGGAAUUACUGGGCGUAAAGCGUGCGUAGACGGUUAUGUAAGUCGGGUGUGAAAGCCCCCGGCUCAACUGGGGAAUUGCACGGGAAACUGCGGGGCUUGAGUUCGGGAGAGGGAAGCGGAAUUCCGGGUGUAGCGGUGAAAUGCGUAGAUAUCCGGAGGAACACCAGUGGCGAAGGCGGCUUCCUGGACCGACACUGACGCUGAGGCGCGAAAGCUAGGGGAGCAAACGGG
rnacentral:rRNA from 1 species